rnacentral:rRNA from 1 species
AUUGAACGCUGGCGGCAGGCCUAACACAUGCAAGUCGAGCGGAUGAAGGGAGCUUGCUCCUGGAUUCAGCGGCGGACGGGUGAGUAAUGCCUAGGAAUCUGCCUGGUAGUGGGGGAUAACGUCCGGAAACGGGCGCUAAUACCGCAUACGUCCUGAGGGAGAAAGUGGGGGAUCUUCGGACCUCACGCUCUCAGAUGAGCCUAGGUCGGAUUAGCUAGUUGGUGGGGUAAUGGCCUACCAAGGCGACGAUCCGUAACUGGUCUGAGAGGAUGAUCAGUCACACUGGAACUGAGACACGGUCCAGACUCCUACGGGAGGCAGCAGUGGGGAAUAUUGGACAAUGGGCGAAAGCCUGAUCCAGCCAUGCCGCGUGUGUGAAGAAGGUCUUCGGAUUGUAAAGCACUUUAAGUUGGGAGGAAGGGCAGUAAGUUAAUACCUUGCUGUUUUGACGUUACCAACAGAAUAAGCACCGGCUAACUUCGUG